UCCUGUAAAUGAUCUAACUCUGUACAUACCACAUCCACAGAGCUCCCACGAUGAUUAUUAAUAAACUUCAGUUUGUUAUAACGUGGUUUCUUCCUCAGCUCAGAAAUUCCAGGUGUCCACCCAGUCACAACAAUUUGGCAUAGAAGCUCCAGGCUGAAAAGCGAUCGUUAAAGAGAGAGAGAGAUGAUGGCGGUGUUCAGCACAGAGUCGGGCCUGUGUUUUGUAGAGGCUAUGAAGAGCAGUUCGCACAAUAAGCCAGCGGAAUCGAAGAAAGCAAACACUCUAUGGUCUAUGCUCAGAAAUUCCAGGUGGCCACCCAGCCACGACACUACUGUAGUUCCAUUUUGACAACUAUGAUGCAGUUCUGUCUUUUGUGCUUGUUAACAACAAUCACUGGAACUUGCUGCUUUUCCUCCAUAUUUAGAGCUGAUGCUGCUUUGAACUCUGAAGUUUCUUCCUCAUGGUGCGUUAGUUCCUAAGUCUCAUCUAUGAACUGAUCACUUGACCAACAUGCUGCAAUCACCUUUGUGAAUGAACUUGAACAUGUACAAUUAAAAUCACAUCUUGAGCUUCACUUGUUAUCAGUUUAUUUGGCAUUACAACAACACCAGAUCAUUAGUUCUACAGAUUUAACAGGUUUAGACUGUUGGCUAGAAAGUAUUUGCUUGUGAGAGGAAAACAGUGGAAUUACUUCUGAACACCAAAGUUCCAGCAGAUGGAGAAUUUCUACAGUGCAAUUAUAUGAGAAAUAAAUGAGAAAUGCUUAUGAUGUGUUAUAAAAAAAGACACUGGAGACACAGGAGUAUUGAACAAAAAAAAUAAUUUAUUAACUAUUUAUAACUAUUUACAAGCAAUGAUGAACUUUAAACUUAUUACAGAUAUUAAUGUA